rnacentral:tRNA from 1 species
GCAGUGGUGGUUCAGUGGUAGAAUUCUUGCCUCCCAUGCAGGAGACCCUGGUUCGAUUCCAGGUCAAUGCA